rnacentral:rRNA from 1 species
GACCGGAAGAGGUGAGGGGUACUCCAGGGGUAGGAGUGAAAUCCUGUAAUCCUUGGGGGACCACCUGUGGCGAAGGCGCCUCACCAGGACGGCUCCGACAGUGAGGGACGAAAGCUGGGGGAGCAAACCGGAUUAGAUACCCGGGUAGUCCCAGCCGUAAACGAUGUGCGUUAGGUGUAUCGGUGACCACGAGUCACCGAGGUGCCGAAGAGAAAUCGUGAAACGUACCGCCUGGGAAGUACGGUCGCAAGGCUGAAACUUAAAGGAAUUGGCGGGGGAGCACCACAACAGGUGGAGCCUGCGGUUUAAUCGGACUCAACGCCGGAAAACUCACCAGAUAAGACAGCUGAAUGAUAGUCGGGCUGAAGACUCUACUUGACUAGCUGAGAGGUGGUGCAU